ACAGCCUCCUCCCCUGUUCCUUAGAUUCUAGGACACUGGGAGGGGAAAGGACAAUUUUGAAAUUCCUUUUCAAGGAAAAGUAAAGGUCUUUAUGCUUUGCCAUGAGGACACACUCAGCUGCUAUUUAAAAAUUAAUACCUUGAACCUAAAGAAUGCUGACCCCCUGCGUCUCCAGAGUUAGGCAGUAUUCUACACUUAAAAGACUACUACUAUUUUUAUACAAGGUUAUCUCCCCAAAUUGCUUGUCAGACUCAUGUCUCUCCCGCAUAGCAAGACAACUCCAGCAGUCGGUACAAGUCACACUUCAUUUUGAUUGAGUACAUGAUUUUUGAACAACUCCUAUACCUGCUCUUUGUAAGAAAUUAAAUAAAGUUAUUUUGGAUUGUUCCACCUUUGUAAACAAUUGGCUAAAGAGGGAUCAUUACCUUGAUGAAAUUAAGCCAUUUACAUGUUUAGUUGUGUUUUUCUAUAGCAGAGUGUUAUAUUUUGCAUUAUGUGGGUCACCGUAGCUUAAGUGGGGUUUUAUAUUUUUCAAGUGUGACUUUCUUGGAAAUUCUUAAUGCAGCCAUUUAAACAGUUUAUUUGCUACCCUUCCUGUUUUUAAGAUG
rnacentral:lncRNA from 1 species